rnacentral:piRNA from 1 species
UGACUCAAGGAAAAGUCUUAAACUGAUUAGU